GUAGGUGGCAAGCGUUGUCCGGAAUUAUUGGGCGUAAAGCGCGCGCAGGCGGUCCUUUAAGUCUGAUGUGAAAGCCCACGGCUCAACCGUGGAGGGUCAUUGGAAACUGGGGGACUUGAGUACAGAAGAGGAAAGCGGAAUUCCAAGUGUGGCGGUGAAAUGCGUAGAGAUUUGGAGGAACACCAGUGGCGAAGGCGGCUUUCUGGUCUGUAACUGACGCUGAGGCGCGAAAGCGUGGGGAGCAAACAGGGAUUAGAUACCCUGGUAGUCCACGCCGUAAACGAUGAGUGCUAAGUGUUAGGGGGUUUCCCGCCCCUUAGUGCUGCAGCUAACGCAUUAAGCACUCCGCCUGGGGAGUACGGCCGCAAGGCUG
rnacentral:rRNA from 1 species